GUGUCGAGUCGAGCGGUAGCACAGGGUAGCUUGCUCCUGGGUGACGAGCGGCGGACGGGUGAGUAAUGUCUGGGAAACUGCCUGAUGGAGGGGGAUAACUACUGGAAACGGUAGCUAAUACCGCAUAAUGUCUACGGACCAAAGUGGGGGACCUUCGGGCCUCAUGCCAUCAGAUGUGCCCAGAUGGGAUUAGCUAGUAGGUGGGGUAAUGGCUCACCUAGGCGACGAUCCCUAGCUGGUCUGAGAGGAUGACCAGCCACACUGGAACUGAGACACGGUCCAGACUCCUACGGGAGGCAGCAGUGGGGAAUAUUGCACAAUGGGCGCAAGCCUGAUGCAGCCAUGCCGCGUGUGUGAAGAAGGCCUUCGGGUUGUAAAGCACUUUCAUCGAGGAGGAAGGGUUCAGUGUUAAUAGCACUGUGCAUUGACGUUACUCGCAGAAGAAGCACCGGCUAACUCCGUGCCAGCAGCCGCGGUAAUACGGAGGGUGCAAGCGUUAAUCGGAAUUACUGGGCGUAAAGCGCACGCAGGCGGUUUGUUAAGUCAGAUGUGAAAUCCCCGCGCUUAACGUGGGAACUGCAUUUGAAACUGGCAAGCUAGAGUCUUGUACAGGGGGGUAGAAUUCCAGGUGUAGCGGUGAAAUGCGUACAUAUCUGGAGGAAUACCGGUGGCGAAGGCGGCCCCCUGGACAAAGACUGACGCUCAGGUGCUAAAGCGUGGGGAGCAAACAGGAUUACAUACCCUGGUACUCCACUCUGUAAACAAUGUCGACUUGUAGGCUGUGCCCUUGAGGCGUGGCUUCCGUAGCUAACACUUUAAGUCGACCGCCUGGAGAGUACGGCCGCCAGGUUAAAACUCGAAUGAAUUGACGGGGGGCCCGC
rnacentral:rRNA from 1 species